rnacentral:rRNA from 1 species
AGCGAACGUUAGCGGCGGGCCUAACACAUGCAAGUCGAGCGAGAAAAGGGCUUCGGCUCUUAGUAAAGCGGCGGACGGGUGAGUAACACGUAGGUAAUCUUCCCUUGAGCGGGGGACAACGAGCCGAAAGGCUCGCUAAUACCGCAUAAGUUUCCCGGGACUCUGGUUCUGGGAAGGAAAGCUAGGCCGCAAGGUCCGGCACUCGAGGAGGCGCCUGCGUCGCAUCAGCUAGUUGGUGGGGUAACGGCCUACCAAGGCGAAGACGCGUAGCUGGUCUGAGAGGAUGAUCAGCCACACUGGGACUGAGACACGGCCCAGACUCCUACGGGAGGCAGCAGUGGGGAAUAUUGGACAAUGGGCGCAAGCCUGAUCCAGCCACGCCGCGUGAGUGAUGAAGGCCUU